rnacentral:rRNA from 1 species
CGGGACGGGUGAGUAAUGUCUGGGAAACUGCCUGAUGGAGGGGGAUAACUACUGGAAACGGUAGCUAAUACCGCAUAACGUCGCAAGACCAAAGAGGGGGACCUUCGGGCCUCUUGCCAUCGGAUGUGCCCUGAUGGGAUUAGCUAGUAGGUGGGGUAACGGCUCACCUAGGCGACGAUCCCUAGCUGGUCUGAGAGGAUGACCAGCCACACUGGAACUGAGACACGGUCCAG